GGUUAAUGAGGCGAACCGGGGGAACUGAAACAUCUAAGUACCCCGAGGAAAAGAAAUCAACCGAGAUUCCCCCAGUAGCGGCGAGCGAACGGGGAGGAGCCCAGAGCCUGAAUCAGCAUGUGUGUUAGUGGAAGCGUCUGGAAAGGCGCGCGAUACAGGGUGACAGCCCCGUACACAAAAGCGCAUGUGCUGUGAGCUCGAUGAGUAGGGCGGGACACGUGGUAUCCUGUCUGAAUAUGGGGGGACCAUCCUCCAAGGCUAAAUACUCCUGACUGACCGAUAGUGAACCAGUACCGUGAGGGAAAGGCGAAAAGAACCCCGGCGAGGGGAGUGAAAAAGAACCUGAAACCGUGUACGUACAAGCAGUGGGAGCACAGGUUUACCUGUGUGACUGCGUACCUUUUGUAUAAUGGGUCAGCGACUUAUAUUCUGUAGCAAGGUUAACCGAAUAGGGGAGCCGUAGGGAAACCGAGUCUUAAC
rnacentral:rRNA from 1 species